UACGUAGGGUGCGAGCGUUGUCCGGAAUUAUUGGGCGUAAAGGGCUCGUAGGCGGUUUGUCGCGUCGGGAGUGAAAUCCACUGGCUUACUGGUGGCUUGCUUUCGAUACGGGCAGACUGGAGGUAUGCAGGGGAGAACGGAAUUCCUGGUGUAGCGGUGAAAUGCGCAGGUAUAUCAGGGAGGAACACCGGUGGGCGAAGGCGGUCUCUGGGCAUGGUCCUGACGGUGGAGGAGCGAAAGGUGUGGGGAGGCGAA
rnacentral:rRNA from 1 species